GGGCGCGCAGGCGGCGCGGGUGCGCGGUGCGGCGCUGGUAUCCAGAGGACGCGGUCACCGCCUCUGGCAUUUGUCGUUCUGCGCUUCUCCGCAAGGACCCUCUGUUAGGCAGGCGCCCACCGUAAGCCUCCCGGGCCUUGUGAACCUGCAAACCCAAGUCUGAGAGACGAUCCGCCUUCAGCGCUUUCCAGCUUGGCAGAGAGGCUUUCCCGGCGGGGAUCUUUGGUUGGCGCUGGCGAUGCGCGGGGAAGAAAGGCGAGGAGCGGCGUCCAGGCUGGGUGAUGUCCCAGCACGAGUAGGCGGGAUGCGCUCGCUUGGUCCUCCGGGCGCCCGGUCCCUGCCCGCGUCGCGCGCCCACCCCUGGGGACGAGAAGGCGGCCGCCUGAGGACCCCCGCCCGCGACCUCCGCGAGUCUGGAGCGCAGAGGACAGGGUCUGGCUGCUCUUUGGCCUUGGAUGGAAAGUGGGGAAUUGGGUGGGGGGCUGCGGACCCCUUAACGUGGAUUACUUGGUGUGUAUCAGCUGGGCUCAGAAGACCCACGACCUCUUCUCCAUCCGUGGAUUGAUUUGUUCUGCUUAACAGCUGGGUCGCCAAGCUGGAGGUGGAAUCAGAGGUUUCUGGCUGACUCGGUGGGUGCUUUGAACCAGGAAAGGACAAGAAAGAGGUGCCACCUCCUGAGUCCUGGUUCCUGCGGCUCCGUCGAAUCUGCAGUGAAGGCCUUUGGGAAGCGUGGGUUAUGUGGGUCCAGGGGUCCCAUCCUCCCGUGGAGGCCCUUGACCUGAGGAUCACUAACUCACACCCCACCGACUUCCGGCCCCCAACAAGGGCAGUGUUCCUCUUGCUCCAUUCUGCUCUGAAGUCCCCCAAACCGCUUCCUGGGGCUGCUUAGUGAAAUACAAGGCUCAUCUCUGAGGACCUCUACAGGGCUGGAUGGGAAGGACUGAUCCACAUUCCCACCAGGAAGUUUAGCAGAACCCCCGCGUGCCACCUGGACCCCUUGGAAGGACCUGGCUCAGGCUGGACCACCUCUUGAGAGGCAGGAGCUCUGGAUUUGAUCAAGAAUUCUUUGCUGAGCAUGGUGCCUCAUGCCUAUAAUCCCAACACUUUGGGAGGCCAGUGUGGGAGGAUCUCUUGAGCCCAGGAGUUCAAGACUAGCCUGGGCAACACAGAGAGACCCCAUCUCUAAAAUAAUAAUAAUAAUAAAAUAAAAAAUUAGCAGGGCAUGGUGGCAUGUGCCUGUAGUCCCAGCUACCCAGGAGGCUGAGGCAAGAGGAUGGCUGGAGCCUGGGAUGUUGAGGCUGCAAUGAACUGUGAUUACCCCACUGCACUCCAGCCUGGGCAAAAGAGCGAGAGACCCUGUCUCAAAUAAUAAUAAUAAUAAUAAUCUUAUUUUGGAGAAUAAAGAGACCUCUGGAUUUGAGGUGCCAUUUGGGUAGAAAGAAAAGACGUUUACACCGAGAAAUAGUCUGUGUUGCCCUGAAGGAGCAGAGGGAUGCAUCGCUGGAGGUGACCUACAGUUGAAGAAGACUCAUUAUGACAGACCUUGUCCUUCUUCCUUGUGGAAAGUGUUUCCUCUGCUGCUACUGCUCAUGAGACUCUUCCCCCUCCCUGUCCCAGGGAACCAAAGGGCUUUCUACCACACCCUUUCUUGCCCCCCGCCUCCCAUGUCUGCUGUGCCUUUGUACUCAGCAAUUCUUGUUUGCUCCAUUAUCUUCCAGCCGGAUACAGAGUGAAUAGUUAACCACACUUAGGUCAAAUAGGAUCUAAAUUUUUGUUCCUGCUCCGUGUAAAGAGGCCAGUGUUUGUGUGUUGCAAGCAGCCUUGGAAUAGUAACUCUUCUCAUUUGUUUGGGAUCUGGCCACCAAGUUCCAGAAUGAUACACGGAUCAGUGCAGAAGUUCAUCAGGCUCUCGGACCUUAGGGCUGUUGGAGAAGGCUUCAGCAGCAGAACUGAUGGUGAAGGCUCGUGUUCUCCAUCCUCAACUUUCUUUGCUUCGAUCAUACACAAGAAUACAUUUGGAAGGGCAAAAAAUGAACACUGUCGUUCAUUGCAGCCGUGUUUUGUGACACAGAUGCACAGUCUGCUGUGAAGACCUUCUCUCAAGUGGCAUUUGGGAGUCCAUGCCAGAUCAUGGUGCUUCAUGAGAGACUGACAGCUAUCAGGGGUUGUGGCACUUAGUGAGGACUCUCCUCCCCCAGUGUGUGCUGAUGACACAUACACACCUGACAAUAGCUUGAGUCUUCUCUGUUCCUUUUACUCUGUAGCCAACAUACACAUGAUUUAAAACCCUUUCUAAAUAUCUAUCAUGGUUCAUCCUUGUCCAAAUGCAGAGUCAGAGCUAUUUGUACUUCAUUAUUAUUUCCAAGGCGAAUAGUUGGCUUUCUUUUUGCAAAAAUAAUUAAAGUUUUUGUAUGUUGCAGUUG
rnacentral:lncRNA from 1 species